GCGAAACACGUGGAGGAAACUCUCCACGCAUGUGCGUGAAGCUGUGGGGUUCCUUCGAUCAUGCCUGAUGGUGAACUAGAAAGGAACUACAUAAAGUUUCAUGGGUAACAGGA